rnacentral:rRNA from 1 species
GACGAACGCUGGCGGCGUGCUUAACACAUGCAAGUCGAACGGAAAGGCCCUGCUUUUGUGGGGUGCUCGAGUGGCGAACGGGUGAGUAACACGUGAGUAACCUGCCCUUGACUUUGGGAUAACUUCAGGAAACUGGGGCUAAUACCGGAUAGGAGCUCCUGCUGCAUGGUGGGGGUUGGAAAGUUUCGGCGGUUGGGGAUGGACUCGCGGCUUAUCAGCUUGUUGGUGGGGUAGUGGCUUACCAAGGCUUUGACGGGUAGCCGGCCUGAGAGGGUGACCGGCCACAUUGGGACUGAGAUACGGCCCAGACUCCUACGGGAGGCAGCAGUGGGGAAUAUUGCACAAUGGGCGGAAGCCUGAUGCAGCAACGCCGCGUGCGGGAUGACGGCCUUCGGGUUGUAAACCACUUUCGCCUGUGACGAAGCGUGAGUGACGGUAAUGGGUAAAGAAGCACCGGCUAACUACGU